GGGACUACAGGCGAGCUCGGCACUGGCUUGGCUGACUCUGGAAGUCGUAGCCAUUCUGCUCAGUCUUUACCUGGUCACUGUCAACACCGACCUUACCACCAUUGACCUGGUGGCCUUCUUGGGUUACAAAUAUGUGGGGUGAGUGCUCCUGCCCUUGCCUGCCAGUCCCAGACUUGGCCUCUUCUCCACACUGAUUCCUCUGCCCCCUCAGGAUGAUUGGCGGGGUCCUCACAGGCCUGCUCUUUGGGAAGAUUGGCUACUACCUGGUGCUUGCCUGGUGCUGUGUGUCCAUCUUUGUGUUCAUGAUCCGGACACUGCGGCUCAAGAUCCUGGCCCAGGCAGCGGCCGAAGGAGUGCCGGUGCGCGGGGCUCGGAACCAGCUGCGCAUGUACUUGACUAUGGCGGUGGCGGCUGCGCAGCCGGUACUCAUGUACUGGCUCACCUUCCACCUUGUACGGUGAACUGCCGGCCUGGCCUCCAGCUCCCACACUCAUCUCGCUUGACCAGGGCCCCCGCCCUCCAGGCCCGCGCUCUCCCUCCCAGCCAAGGUGCUCUUGUAGCCAGCUGCACACCCGCAACAAUAAACCUGAUGGGCUCGGCGCGGCCUCCGCUCCUGCCCGGCAGAGGGCGCCGGGGAGCGGAAAGGGCUGCAAGUUUAAUAAGUUAA
rnacentral:lncRNA from 1 species